UAUGCGCUACGAUACGAUCGCUCGAAAUUUGGUUUUAAAUUAUGUUGUUAAGUAUUAUGUUACUAAAAAAUAUGCGUGUUAGUGUAUAGCAUUAGUGUUAUCUGCAUAUAUACUCAAGUUGACAGCGGACUAUUUUAGCAAAAAAAGAAAAAAAGUUGACAGCGGACUAAUUUAUAAGGAUAUAAAUUAAAAUAUAUACAGACAUAAAUAUAUAAAAUAAUAAUACUUAGUUAUGAAUAUUAUAAUAUAAUAUAACAUAAUAUUUUAUAUCUAUAUUUUUUGAAACUUUUAAAGAAAGUGUUCUAACACGUUUCCUUCAUGUAUCAGUGACAUCAUCAAUUAAGAAGUUUUAUAUUAUUGUUUGCUUCUUGCUUCGUCAAAAUUAUAAAUUUGUUUUGAAGUCCUAAUAAGUUCAUGUUAGAAACGUGAGGGCUUCAGUUAGUGUCAACUGUAAAAAUUGAUCCUAAAAUAAAAGCUGAUUGUUAGCAACUUAAUAAGUCCUACCUACUGUCAAUCGAUAAUACACCAUCGUAAUCACAAAGUCUUUAAUUAAGUUUUGUAGACCUAAAAGGAAACAAAAAAAAAAUUCCAUAUCCAAGAGAGAAACCAAAUAGAACACUCAUGUUAAG
rnacentral:lncRNA from 1 species